AUUGAACGCUGGCGGCAGGCUUAACACAUGCAAGUCGAGCGGGGUGAUGGUGCUUGCACUAUCACUUAGCGGCGGACGGGUGAGCAAUGCUUAGGAAUCUGCCUAUUAGUGGGGGACAACAUCUCGAAAGGGAUGCUAAUACCGCAUACGUCCUACGGGAGAAAGCAGGGGAUCACUUGUGACCUUGCGCUAAUAGAUGAGCCUAAGUCGGAUUAGCUAGUUGGUGGGGUAAAGGCCUACCAAGGCGACGAUCUGUAGCGGGUCUGAGAGGACGCACCGCCACACUGGGACUGGAACACGGCCCAGACUCCUACGGGAGGCAGCAGUGGGGAAUAUUGGACAAUGGGGGGAACCCUGAUCCAGCCAUGCCGCGUGUGUGAAGAAGGCCUUAUGGUUGUAAAGCACUUUAAGCGAGGAGGAGGCUCUUUUGGUUAAUACCCAAGAUGAGUGGACGUUACUCGCAGAAUAAGCACCGGCUAACUCUGUGCCAGCCGCCGCAGUAA
rnacentral:rRNA from 1 species